rnacentral:rRNA from 1 species
AAUCAACGCUGGCGGCGUGCCUAACGCAUGCAAGUCGAACGCGAAAGCCCCGCAAGGGGUAAGUAGAGUGGCAAACGGGUGAGUAACACGUGGGUGACCUGCCUUCGAGUGGGGGAUAACGUCCCGAAAGGGACGCUAAUACCGCAUGACAUCCUGCUUUUGAAAAAGCGGAGAUCAAAGCUGGGGAUCGCAAGACCUAGCGCUUGAAGAGGGGCCCGCGCCUGAUUAGCUAGUUGGUGAGGUAACGGCUCACCAAGGCGACGAUCAGUAUCCGGCCUGAGAGGGCGGACGGACACACUGGGACUGAGACACGGCCCAGACUCCUACGGGAGGCAGCAGUGGGGAAUUGUUCGCAAUGGGCGCAAGCCUGACGACGCAACGCCGCGUGGAGGACGAAGAUCUUCGGGUCGUAAACUCCUGUCGAGCGGGACGAACGCUUCGCGGAUGAAUAAUCCGCGGAAUUGACGGUACCGCUAAAGGAAGCCCCGGCUAACUCCGUG